UAGGGAAUCUUCCACAAUGGACGAAAGUCUGACGGAGCAACGCCGCGUGAGUGAAGAAGGGUUUCGGCUCGUAAAACUCUGUUGUUAAAGAAGAACAUAUCUGAGAGUAACUGUUCAGGUAUUGACGGUAUUUAACCAGAAAGCCACGGCUAACUACGUGCCAG
rnacentral:rRNA from 1 species